GCACCCUGGCCCCCUCCCAGAGUUUGCUCUGUGUGAAAAACGCCAAUCAGUCGUUUUUAAAAUUUUAAAAGUUUAAUAUUAAUAAAAUGGUUAUAAAAAUAGCAAUAUAAUUAGAGUAAUAAAAAUUUGGACAAUUAGGAUUAGAACAAUAUGAGACAACAGAAACAAAGAGCUACAGACGUCUGGGUACCUUUUUCUGGGCAACAAAAGCCCGAAAAAGGACACCUGUUAACAGAGAAUUAACCCUUAAAAACAAUAGCCUGUUGCAUAUUCAUACACCUCAGACAUGAUGCAUAAAUUCCAUUAAAACAAAGGAUUCGGUCUGGUCAGUGUCAGCUUCUUCAUCUUAAUCCUGACGGCAUCUUCAUGGAAGAGUGAGGCAGGAAGAAGUUAAGUUUCUUCUGAUAAUGGAGCAAUAAAUUCUCUUUCUCUGAAAGAUUUAGGUGUCUUGUGGCUGCUAUCUUGCUGCAAGUCCUUUCUUUUUAAAAAGUAUCUAUCUUACAUAGCAUAGUUUCUAUUUAAACAUUUUGUAAUAACCUAAAACUGUAUUUAACACACUACGUAAGAAAAUUAAGACAGCAUAACUUUCUAACAUAACACAUAUAAUAUUCAUUUUAAUAUUUGCGAAAAGCCAAUCAUAAAACACGCAUUUUUCCACACUCUGGAUAGGUCCCAGUAUGCACCACGAACCUGAACUGGUCCCAGCAUCCAUCCUAAACAGGUCCAGGCACCCACCCCGGUCUGAACUGGUUACAGUAUCCUCCCUUGGCCUCAGCUGGGCUCAGCAUCCUCUCCUGGAAGUGCUCCCGGGGUUCCUCCCGGACGGGCCCACUGUCCAUCCCGGCCUGCUCCCAGCCUCCCAUCCCGGCCCAGCUGACCCCGGUUCCNNNNNNNNNNNNNNNNNNNNNCCCGGCCGUGCAGGAUGAGCGCCGUGCCUGAGGAAGUUAAGGCAGAAGAUGGCAAAGCGGAGCCCGAGAAAAAACUCUUUUACUGCGAUGUUUGUAAAAUUUACUGUAUGUGCGCUAUAAGUCUUCAGACACACUACCGUGGUGCAAAGCAUAGGAAGCAAGAGAAAGCCCUGAGACGCAGGAAUCCCUAUUGUAAGUAUAAUACUUUUUUCUUCCAGCCUCCUAGGAUAGAUAUUGCUUGGGGAUUUACUGUUUUGUUGCUUUUCUAAUAGUUCAGGUAUUUGCAUUUGCCAGUUUAUAUGUCUCUAACUGUGUUUCUCUUUAUAUGUUGAACAUUCUUCUGAGAUUUGUCUAGUGAACUGCUGACAAAGAAUUGUUUUAGAGUAUGAAACCUUACUUAUGUCUUUUCACAUAUAAAUAUUUAUAUAUGUCUAG
rnacentral:lncRNA from 1 species